UUUUUUUUUUUUUUUUUUUUUUUUUUUUUUUUUUUUUUUUUUUUUUUUAACUACCAUAUGGCACUCUGCUCU